rnacentral:lncRNA from 1 species
CAGAAAUCACUCUUUAUGUAACUGUACAUAAUCAGAGAAAUCGCUGACCAGUGGACACAAAUAGAAAGCUCCAUGUUUCUAACAAUGGAAGAUACAGGUUGGCGGCACCCCUUUUCUGCACCGAUCACAGAGGCCCCAGGUAGGUGCAGGCCUCCAGGGGCUCAGAGGCCUGGUGAACUGCCUAGGCCGUCAGCAUCCCUUGCCCUUGGCCGAGUGACGGCCUGCUGGCAGGCUGCUAUUUGGUUUUCGUUGCUUGAGAGGCUUCGCUCAGGCAAGACCUGGCAAGAAACCGAGCUCAUUUAUUCGCUCCGGGGAGGAAGCUCGAAGUCUCUCACCAGCCAGGGAAUAGAGACCCAGAAACGAAGGGAAAGGUUUUCGGUGACCUCGGG